rnacentral:lncRNA from 1 species
UAGAUAUUACGUGUGAGACCAUCUUAAUUCUUGAAAACUCCCCUACCAAAACAUUGUCCAAUGUCUGAUACUAUCACAUGCCUUUGUCACAUACUAUCAUAUUUUCAAUUAAAAUUAAAUUGUUUUCUCUUUCAUGAAGCACGUGUACUAUAUCCAAGUAAAAUAAGAGUGGUACUCCUUCAUCUUUCACACGCCAAAGCAAAAGCUAAAAACAACAGGAGUUGCAAACACUGAAACUUGAAUGUUGCAGUUAUGGCGGAGACGGUGUGGAACUAUGGAAGCAAGCAAAAGCACGAUUCGGAGAAGAACAACAACCUCCUCAUGCAAGAGAUACAAACCGAACCAAACCAUCCGAGUCAACCGCUUUACCGUUGAACCCGCCACCCGUCGGAACCGACGUUGAAACGGUCGGAAAUGACUGGAGUUUUAUGCAUUACGGUUGACUAUCGGUGAGUAAUUUCUGGCCCGAACCCGGCCGUAACCGACCGAUGCACACCC